rnacentral:rRNA from 1 species
GACGAACGCUGGCGGCGUGCUUAACACAUGCAAGUCGAACGGAAAGGCCCUGCUUUUGUGGGGGGCUCGAGUGGCGAACGGGUGAGUAACACGUGAGUAACCUGCCCUUGACUUUGGGAUAACUUCAGGAAACUGGGGCUAAUACCGGAUAGGAUCUCCUGCUGCAUGGUGGGGGUGGGAAAGGUUCGGCGGUUGGGGAUGGACUGGGGGCUUAUCAGCUUGUUGGUGGGGUAGUGGCUUACCCGGGCUUUGACGGGUAGCCGGCCUGAGAGGGUGACCGGCAACAUUGGGACUGAGAUACGGCCCAGACUCCUACGGGAGGGAGCAGUGGGGAAUAGUGCACUAUGGGCGGAAGCCUGAUGCAGCGACGCCGCGUGCGGGAUGACGGCCUUCGGGUUGUAAACCGCUUUCGCCUGUGACGAAGCGUGAGUGACGGUAAUGGGUAAAGAAGCACCGGCUAACUACGUG